rnacentral:rRNA from 1 species
AUUGAACGCUGGCGGCAUGCCUUACACAUGCAAGUCGAACGGUAACAGGUCUUCGGAUGCUGACGAGUGGCGAACGGGUGAGUAAUACAUCGGAACGUGCCCGAUCGUGGGGGAUAACGCAGCGAAAGCUGUGCCAAUACCGCAUACGAUCUACGGAUGAAAGCGGGGGACUCGCAAGGGCCUCGCGCGGACGGAGCGGCCGAUGGCAGAUUAGGUAGUUGGUGGGAUAAAAGCUUACCAAGCCGACGAUCUGUAGCUGGUCUGAGAGGACGACCAGCCACACUGGGACUGAGACACGGCCCAGACUCCUACGGGAGGCAGCAGUGGGGAAUUUUGGACAAUGGGCGCAAGCCUGAUCCAGCCAUGCCGCGUGCAGGAUGAAGGCCUUCGGGUUGUAAACUGCUUUUGUACGGAACGAAAAGACUCGUCUCUAAUACAGGGGUGAAUGACGGUACCGUAAGAACUAAGACACCGGCUAACUACGUGCCAGCAGCCGG